rnacentral:lncRNA from 1 species
GCCCCACCUACGAUAGUAGAGGGGCAUUAUGUUUUCUGGUCUGUGCGUCCGUCCGUCCGUCUGUUCGUUCGUUCGUCCGUUCGUCCGUCUGUCCCGCUUCAGGUUAAAGUUUUUGGUCAAGGUAGUUUUUGAUGAAGUUGAAGUCCAAUCAACUUGAAACUUAGUAUACAUGUGCCCUAUGAUAUCAUCUUUCUAAUUUAAAUGCCAAAUUAUAGUUUUGACCCCAAUUUUACGGUUCACUGAACAUAGAAAAUGAUAGUGCAAAUUUCAGGUUAAAGUUUUUG